UAGCCAUAUCAUGUUGAAACUCCAGUUCCCAUGCAAUCACCAAAGUUAAGCAGCAUCAAGCCUGUUCAGUAUCUAGAUGGGUGAUUACUUGGGAAUAUCAGGUGCUGCAAGC